UUCUAGUAUGGCAGAGUAGUGCAAUGGAAUUAAGCCCCAUAUAUAAAGUUUAAUCUUUUGCUAGAA
rnacentral:tRNA from 1 species